GUUCCUACGGGGGGCAGCAGUGGGGAAUAUUGCACAAUGGGGGAAACCCUGAUGCAGCGACGCCGCGUGAGUGAAGAAGUAUUUCGGUAUGUAAAGCUCUAUCAGCAGGGAAGAAAAUGACGGUACCUGACUAAGAAGCCCCGGCUAACUACGUGCCAGCAGCCGCGGUAAUACGUAGGGGGCAAGCGUUAUCCGGAUUUACUGGGUGUAAAGGGAGCGUAGACGGUAGAGCAAGUCUGAAGUGAAAGCCCGCGGCUCAACGGCGGGGCUGCUU
rnacentral:rRNA from 1 species